CAGGGCUCCGUCUGAAAUAUAAAAGCGUAUUUAGUGUUCUAAAACAAUGUAUGCUCCGUAAACAAUAGAUCGCAAUGUGGAUGUUCAAGUACUCCUUUAUCAAAUAAACCCUUAUUAUCGUCGACUUGUACAGGAGCCUCACGCCACCCUUAGUGCCACAGGACUGAUUAAAACCUCCUCUACACAUUCUCAACUCUAUUUUUAAAUUUAUCUCCGGUAUAAUUGACUUCACAUUUCCAAUCUCAUUAAUCAGCACCACUCCUUGAGAGGGGAAUAGCCAAAUACUGGGAACGGUUAAAGAAUCCUCCCAUACCUGUAAAGGAAGUGAUGCGCCUUACUGAAACUGAAAUAACGGAGCGCCCCUCUUUCGGAGUUAGCCCGGAAAUGAAGUUGAGAAGCCUUCCCGGGAAGGGGGGCCGAAUUCCUUCUUUGAGCAUUGUGAUCUGACUCAAAAAGAGGGUGACCAGGGUGGCCCUGAUGCACUGAGAUGGUGACCAUCCACUGCUCUGACCUACUCUCAGCUCUCUGCGAGACAUGGUGCUUCCAGGUGCAUGUGCCAGAUGCUAGGAGUUCCACCCAUCAUUCCUGCCUGGAAACACGCAGUGCCUUUGGUGGCCAGGUUCUCCUGCAAGGGCAGACGCCUGCGGACCCGUCUCCUCGCCAGGCCAGCUCCUUUAUUCAUCCUUUUCUCCCAGCGGAUCCAAGUGUGAUCCUAGCUGUCUUCUAG
rnacentral:lncRNA from 1 species